rnacentral:rRNA from 1 species
AGAGGUGGCAAGCGUUGUUCGGAAUUACUGGGCGUAAAGGGCGCGUAGGCGGCUUGGUCAGUCCCGUGUGAAAUCCCUCGGCUCAACUGAGGAACUGCACGGGAAACUGCCUGGCUUGAGUUCGGGAGAGGGAAGCGGAAUUCCGGGUGUAGCGGUGAAAUGCGUAGAUAUCCGGAGGAACAUCGGUGGCGAAGGCGGCUUCCUGGACCGACACUGACGCUGAGGCGCGAAAGCUAGGGGAGCAAACGGGAUUAGAUACCCCGGUAGUCCUAGCUGUAAACGAUGAGUGCUGGGUGUAGGGGGUAUCAACCCCCCCUGUGCCGAAGCUAACGCAUUAAGCACUCCGCCUGGGGAGUACGGUCGCAAGGCUG